AGAGUUUGAUCCUGGCUCAGAUUGAACGCUGGCAGCAUGCUUUACACAUGCAAGUCGAACGGCAGCAUAGAGAGCUUGCUCUCUGAUGGCGAGUGGCGAACGGGUGAGUAAUACAUCGGAACAUACCUUUAAGUGGGGGAUAGCUCGGCGAAAGCCGAAUUAAUACCGCAUAGUCUCUUCGGAGUAAAGUGGGGGACCCUCGGGCCUCAUGCUUAAAGAGUGGCCGAUGUCGGAUUAGCUUGUUGGUGAGGUAAUGGCUCACCAAGGCUGCGAUCCGUAACUGGUCUGAGAGGAUGAUCAGUCACACUGGAACUGAGACACGGUCCAGACUCCUACGGGAGGCAGCAGUGGGGAAUUUUGGACAAUGGGGGAAACCCUGAUCCAGCGAUGCUGCGUGCGGGAAGAAGGCCUUAGGGUUGUAAACCGCUUUCAGCUAGGAAGAAAAGGUUAUAGUUAAUAUCUAUAACUCAUGACGGUACUAGCAGAAGAAGCACCGGCUAACUACGUGCCAGCAGCCGCGGUAAUACGUAGGGUGCAAGCGUUAAUCGGAAUUACUGGGCGUAAAGAGUGCGCAGGCGGCUCUUUAAGACAGGUGUGAAAUCCCCGAGCUCAACUUGGGAAUUGCGCUUGUGACUGAAGAGCUAGAGUGCAGAAGAGGGGGAUAGAAUUCCUGGUGUAGCAGUGAAAUGCGUAGAUAUCAGGAGGAAUACCAAUGGCGAAGGCAGUCCCCUGGGCUAGCACUGACGCUCAUGCACGAAAGCGUGGGGAGCAAACAGGAUUAGAUACCCUGGUAGUCCACGCCCUAAACGAUGUCAACUAGUUGUUGGAAGAGGAGACUCUUUAAGUAACGAAGCUAACGCGUGAAGUUGACCGCCUGGGGAGUACGGUCGCAAGAUUAAAACUCAAAGGAAUUGACGG
rnacentral:rRNA from 1 species